CUAAACCCUAGUUUCGUAUUGUGAGAUGGAAGAUUUUGAGAGCUAAGGGUUGGGACACUGAGAGAAUCGGUUAUAUAAGGGAAAGGAUGUGGUCGUUUCUUAAAUCCUAAUAUUUAUCUCGAACCUUUUUAUCCGGUCAUUGUCCACUAAGACCAGGACAUUGCCCUUUUUUUCUUACUUCUUGUAAUGUUUCAAUUCAUCAUCACCCCAACCGGUUGCCAUUGUUGAAUCUGAGUAUAAUGUUUUUGACCCAUCACCACUCUGCCAAUCGAUCAGUACAAGUUCACUUGAAGCAAUAAAUCACUGCAUCAUCCUC